rfam:Triticum aestivum genome assembly, contig: Triticum_aestivum_CS42_TGACv1_scaffold_225499_3B
CUAUUACUCCCUCCGUCCGAAAAUACUUGUCAUCAAAAUGGAUAAAAAAAAAUGUAUCUAGAACUAAAAUACAUCUAGAUACAUUCCCUCUUAUCCAUUUUGAUGACAAGUAUUUUCAGACGAAAGGAGUACAUA